GCCAGACUCCUACGGGAGGCAGCAGUGGGGAAUAUUGGGCAAUGGGCGCAAGCCUGACCCAGCAAUGCCGCGUGAAGGAAGAAGGCCCUCGGGUUGUAAACUUCUUUUAUCAGGGACGAAGGAUGUGACGGUACCUGAUGGAUAAGCUCCGGCUAACUACGUGCCAGCAGCCGCGGUAAUACGUAGGGAGCAAGCGUUAUCCGGAUUUACUGGGUGUAAAGGGCGCGUAGGCGGGAUGGCAAGUCAGAUGUGAAAUCCAGGGGCUCAACCCCUGAACUGCAUUUGAAACUGUCGUUCUUGAGUACUGGAGAGGUUGACGGAAUUCCUAGUGUAGCGGUGAAAUGCGUAGAUAUUAGGAGGAACACCAGUGGCGAAGGCGGUCAACUGGACAGCAACUGACGCUGAGGCGCGAAAGCGUGGGGAGCAAACAGGAUUAGAUACCCGGGUACA
rnacentral:rRNA from 1 species